rnacentral:rRNA from 1 species
AUUGAACGCUGGCGGCAUGCCUUACACAUGCAAGUCGAACGGUAACAGGUCUUCGGGUGCUGACGAGUGGCGAACGGGUGAGUAAUACAUCGGAACGUGCCCGAUCGUGGGGGAUAACGCAGCGAAAGCUGUGCUAAUACCGCAUACGAUCUACGGAUGAAAGCGGGGGAUCGCAAGACCUCGCGCGGACGGAGCGGCCGAUGGCAGAUUAGGUAGUUGGUGGGAUAAAAGCUUACCAAGCCGACGAUCUGUAGCUGGUCUGAGAGGACGACCAGCCACACUGGGACUGAGACACGGCCCAGACUCCUACGGGAGGCAGCAGUGGGGAAUUUUGGACAAUGGGCGCAAGCCUGAUUCAGCCAUGCCGCGUGCAGGAUGAAGGCCUUCGGGUUGUAAACUGCUUUUGUACGGAACGAAAAAGCUCUCUCUAAUACAGGGGGUGAAUGACGGUACCGUAAGAAUAAGCACCGGCUAACUACGUGCCAGCAGCCGCCGUAAGAC